rnacentral:rRNA from 1 species
GACGAACGCUGGCGGCGUGCUUAACACAUGCAAGUCGAACGAUGAAGCCUAGCUUGCUAGGUGGAUUCGUGGCGGACGGGUGAGUAAUACGCGAGUAACCUACCUUUAUCUCUGGGAUAAGCCCGGGAAACUGGGUCUAAUACCGGAUACGACCAAUCUCCGCAUGGGGUGUUGGUGGGAAGCGUUCUGCAGUGGUUAUAGAUGGGCUCACGGCCUAUCAGCUUGUUGGUGAGGUAACGGCUCACCAAGGCGACGACGGGUAGCCGGCCUGAGAGGGUGACCGGCCACACUGGGACUGAGACACGGCCCAGACUCCUACGGGAGGCAGCAGUGGGGAAUAUUGCACAAUGGGCGCAAGCCUGAUGCAGCGACGCCGCGUGAGGGAUGACGGCCUUCGGGUUGUAAACCUCUGUUAGCAGGGAAGAAGAGAGAUUGACGGUACCUGCAGAGAAAGCGCCGGCUAACUACGUG